CAUGUGAUGCAAAAUGGCAGCUUUCUGAUGACUGUAUCACAAAGCAGGCCUAUACUGCAGAAACUAUAAUGAUUUAUGACAAUCCUUGACAGUUACAUGAAUAUAAGAAGGAGAAAGAGACAAGGCAUCUUAAAUUUGAUCCUGUUCUUUGCUUCAUCAGAUAAAUAGAUCUUCACUAGUUUAAGAUUUUAAAAAUAACUGCAAUCAUCAUAGUUUGUAGUGAAGCAAUAAAAUUCUCAUUGGGUCUUUUCUAAUGCUUUAAAUUACUGCUAGAAGAGGUACUAGUGGCCAUUUUGCA